AGCGAAGUAAAGUACAGAUACGUGACAUUUCUACUUAAGUACAGUAACGAAGUAUUUUUACUUCGUUACAUUACAACACUGCUUGUGUGUAUGUCAUGUUCAGUUCAACACUUCUGUACAAAUAUAAUACCACAUCUCAAAAUUACUACAUUAAUUCAUCAAUUAAUACAAUAAAACACACGCAAUAAACUCAAUUUUAAUAAUCUUGAUUUCUUAUCCAAAAUAUAAACUUAUACCUAAUGAUUUACAGUAUUAACGACACAUUACAGCUGUGUGCGUGACCUCAGAAUGUGAACGUGGCGUGAAGUUAACAGAACAGAAAGACUUGGCUUUAUUAUCUAGUAGAUAAGAUCAGAGAUGAGGCAUGUGUUAAUGAAGUCAUGUGCUACUGAAUAAAAGAGGAAUUACUGCAUGAAACACUUUGUCAUGUUAAAUAUAGUGGCAGCAUCGUUGUUAUUAAUGUCAUGGCCUGAAUUUCUCUUUACAUAUCAACACCUUAAAUGACUGAAAUGUUUUUGUCUUUCUUCUUGUAGACCUCAUUCUAUUGAUCCUGAGCUCAGUUUGUCUGAUUCUCAUUGUACUAGCUGUCUUAGUGUUUUGUGUCUACAAGAAGAGACAAGGCCAAAGGAUCGAAGCCCCUUCUCAGGACAGCAUGCAGCUUGUGUACGCGGAGGUCACCCACUCAGCCAGGAACAGGACAGACACAAGACCCAGCACGUCCCCAGCGCAGAACGAGGGUGUGGAGUACGGCACGGUGGUCACAUCCAAUCAGAAGAAGAAAGAGGAUGAUGUGCAGUACGGAGAGCUGGUGUUUAACACUCCUGCACAAAAAAAGUGCAAGGUGCCCAAAGUACAAGAAUAUUGUGUGUACUCAGAGGUCAAGCG